rnacentral:rRNA from 1 species
UURUGUUUGWUCYUGGCUCAGRGCGAACGCKGGSGGCAGGCUUAACACAUGCAAGUCGAGCGGGCGUAGCAAUACGUCAGCGGCAGACGGGUGAGUAACGCGUGGGAAYGUACCUUUUGGUUCGGAACAACWCAGGGAAACUUGUGCUAAUACCGGAUAAGCCCUUACGGGGAAAGAUUUAUCGCCGAAAGAUCGGCCCGCGUCUGAUUAGCUAGUUGGUGAGGUAAUGGCUCACCAAGGCGACGAUCAGUAGCUGGUCUGAGAGGAUGAUCAGCCACAUUGGGACUGAGACACGGCCCAAACUCCUACGGGAGGCAGCAGUGGGGAAUAUUGGACAAUGGGGGCAACCCUGAUCCAGCCAUGCCGCGUGAGUGAUGAAGRCCCUAGGGUUGUAAAUCUYUUUUGUGACUGAAGAUAAUGACCCACGCASMUMGCWGC